AAGCUAGUUGUGCGGGUUUAGACCCGCAGCGGAAAGCUCAGUAACACGUGGCCAAGCUACCCUGUGGACGGGAAUACUCUCGGGAAACUGAGGCUAAUCCCCGAUAACGCUUUGCUCCUGGAAGGGGCAAAGCCGGAAACGCUCCGGCGCCACAGGAUGCGGCUGCGGUCGAUUAGGUAGACGGUGGGGUAACGGCCCACCGUGCCCAUAAUCGGUACGGGUUGUGAGAGCAAGAGCCCGGAGACGGAAUCUGAGACAAGAUUCCGGGCCCUUACGGGGCGCACCAGGCGCGAAACCUUUACACUGUACGAAAGUGCGAUAAGGGGACUCCGAGUGUGAAGGCAUAGAGNCUUCACUUUUGUACACCGUAAGGUGGUGCACGAAUAAGGACUGGCCAAGAACGGUGCCAGCCGCCGCGGUAAUACCGGCAGUCCGAGUGAUGGCCGAUCUUAUUGGCCUAAAAGCGUCCGUAGCUGGCUGAACAAGUCCGUUGGGAAAUCUGUCCGCUUAACGGGCAGGCGUCCAGCGGAAACUGUUCAGCUUGGGACCGGAAGACCUGAGGGGUACGUCUGGGGUAGGAGUGAAAUCCUGUAAUCCUGGACGGACCGCCGGUGGCGAAAGCGCCUCAGGAGAACGGAUCCGACAGUGAGGGACGAAAGCUAGGGUCUCGAACCGGAUUAGAUACCCGGGUAGUCCUAGCUGUAAACGAUGUCCGCUAGGUGUGGCGCAGGCUACGAGCCUGCGCUGUGCCGUAGGGAAGCCGAGAAGCGGACCGCCUGGGAAGUACGUCUGCAAGGAUGAAACUUAAAGGAAUUGGCGGGGGAGCACUACAACCGGAGGAGCCUGCGGUUUAAUUGGACUCAACGCCGGACAUCUCACCAGCCCCGACAGUAGUAAUGACGGUCAGGUUGAUGACCUUNCCCGAGGCUACUGAGAGG
rnacentral:rRNA from 1 species